rnacentral:rRNA from 1 species
GUGAGGAAUAUUGGACAAUGGGCGCAAGCCUGAUCCAGCCAUGCCGCGUGCAGGAAGACGCAUCUAUGGUGUGUAAACUGCUUUUGUACGGGAAGAAACACUCCCUCGUGAGGGAGCUUGACGGUACCGUAAGAAUAAGGAUCGGCUAACUCCGUGCCAGCAGCCGCGGUAAUACGGAGGAUCCAAGCGUUAUCCGGAAUCAUUGGGUUUAAAGGGUCCGUAGGCGGUUUAAUACGUCAGUGGUGAAAGCCCAUCGCUCAACGAUGGAACGGCCAUUGAUACUGUUAGACUUGAAUUACAAGGAAGUAACUAGAAUAUGUAGUGUAGCGGUGAAAUGCUUAGAUAUUACAUGGAAUACCAAUUGCGAAGGCAGGUUACUACUUGUGGAUUGACGCUGAUGGACGAAAGCGUGGGGAGCGAACAGGAUUAGAAACCCCUGUAGUCC